GAAUGGAAUAACUAAAUUUUCCAUGGCAAACUGCUCAGUAAUACAUGAUCAACUUACCCUAUAGAUGAGAAUAACCUCGGGAAACUGAGGAUAAUACUCAAUAGUUGAUUAGGCUUGGAAAAGUUUUUCAAUGAAUGGAAUAUAAAAAAUGUUUUCUAUUUGCUAUAGGAUAGGAUUGUGGUCGAUUAUGGUAGUUGGUGAGGUAAUGGCUCACCAAGCCGAUAAUCGAUAGGGGCCGUGAGAGCGGGAGCCCCGAGAUGGGUACUGAGACAACGACCCAGGCCUUACGAGGCGCAGCAGGCGCGGAACCUCCGCAAUACACGAAAGUGUGACGGGGUUACCCAAAGUGUCCUUUUGGACUGUGGCGGGUGAGUAAUAUCCCCCGCUAGAAAGGAGAGGGCAAGGCUGGUGCCAGCCGCCGCGGUAAAACCAGCUCUUCAAGUGGUCGGGACAAUUAUUGGGCUUAAAGUGUCCGUAGCCGGUAUAGUAAGUUCCUGGUAAAAUCGGGUAACUUAACUAUCCGUGUGCUAGGAAUACUGCUAUACUAGAGGGCGGGAGAAGUCUGAGGUACUGCAGGGGUAGGGGUGAAAUCCUAUAAUCCUUGCAGGACCACCGGUGGCGAAAGCGUCAGACUGGAACGCGCCUGACGGUGAGGGACGAAAGCCAUGGGAGCGAACCGGAUUAGAUACCCGGGUAGUCCUGGCCGUAAACGAUGCAUACUAGGUGACGGCACGGCCAUGAGCCGUGUCGGUGCCGUAGGGAAACCGUUAAGUGUGCCGCCUGGGAAGUACGGUCGCAAGGCUUAAACUUAAAGGAAUUGGCGGGGGAGCACCACAAGGGGUGAAGCCUGCGGUUCAAUUGGACUCAACGCCGGGAAACUUACCGGGGGAGACAGCAGAAUGAAGGUCAGGUUGACGACCUUACCUAACAAGCUGAGAGGAGGUGCAUGGCCGUCGCCAGUUCGUGCUGUGAGGUAUCCUGUUAAGUCAGGCAACGAGCGAGACCCGCACCUUUAGUUGCCAGCAAGAAGUUACGACUUCGUUGGGCACACUAAAGGGACUGCCGAUCGAUAAGAUGGAGGAAGGAGCGGGCAAAGGCAGGUCAGUAUGCCCCGAAACCCCCGGGCUACACGCGGGCUGCAAUGGUAUGAACAAUGGGCUGUGACUCCGAGAGGAGAAACCAAUCCCUAAAUCAUAUCUCAGUUGGGAUUGUCGACUGUAACUCGUCGACAUGAACGUGGAAUCCCUAG
rnacentral:rRNA from 1 species